AAAGAAAGGAAGCAAACCUCAAGCAGCAAAACAGAGUUACAACAAAACAGAAGAUCAACAUGCAGCAACACAGGAGAUCGCAUAACCUGAUAAAUAAACAUAAAUGAAGUAGUCAGAGCAGGCAACGAAAACUUCAUGCGCCAGGGCAUUAAAACAUUUUACAGUUCAGUUUGCAAUUUCAAAAUUGACACCAUGGCGGCGCACAACUAUAGAGUAAAAGACCAGCAUGCUAUGCAUGUAUACCAUGUUUCACUUUGAAAAUAAAGCUGGAUUGCAUUUGAAAUAUCUUUCCUUGUAUUUCCUAUAUUACACACACCUAAAUUAAACCAGCAAGUUAGCAUGUCAUUAUUUACAAAGAAACACCACAACAACCUAAUCAACCAUAUCCCUUCUUUAAUAUUUCCUUUCUUUUUUGUAAUUCUAAUUUUUCAACAUAGCACAAGGAUUUAUCCCUAUUUAAUCUCACAAUAAGAUCUAAAGUUAGUGUGUGGCAUAUAUGUUAAUACCCCAACCCAAAAUCUGAGAAGAGCAAGAACAACAAAAACUGAGAAAGUUCCCUUUGUUAUUUCAAGUUUUUGUCGAACUGGCAAAAUCAUUUGUAGGCAACUCAAGUUAUACGCCGCGUGCAAGGAGUGAACUUCCUCAGAAACCUCACAAAUGUACGACAAGUUAGGUAAGUAACAAUAUAUUGAGGAUGAAAAAAAUGCUUAUCGAUGCAUGAGUUGAGAAACCAAUCAAAUACCUUCAGAUU
rnacentral:lncRNA from 1 species